rnacentral:rRNA from 1 species
AAACCAACCGGGAUUGCCUUAGUAACGGCGAGUGAAGCGGCAAAAGCUCAAAUUUGAAAUCUGGUACCUUCGGUGCCCGAGUUGUAAUUUGGAGAGGGCAACUUUGGGGCCGUUCCUUGUCUAUGUUCCUUGGAACAGGACGUCAUAGGGGGUGAGAAUCCCGUGUGGCGAGGAGUGCGGUUCUUUGUAAAGUGCCUUCGAAGAGUCGAGUUGUUUGGGAAUGCAGCUCUAAGUGGGUGGUAAAUUCCAUCUAAAGCUAAAUAUUGGCGAGAGACCGAUAGCGAACAAGUACAGUGAUGGAAAGAUGAAAAGAACUUUGAAAAGAGAGUGAAAAAGUACGUGAAAUUGUUGAAAGGGAAGGGCAUUUGAUCAGACAUGGUGUUUUGUGCCCUCUGCUCCUUGUGGGUAGGGGAAUCUCGCAUUUCACUGGGCCAGCAUCAGUUUUGGUGGCAGGAUAAAUCCAUAGGAAUGUAGCUUGCCUCGGUAAGUAUUAUAGCCUGUGGGAAUACUGCCAGCUGGGACUGAGGACUGCGACGUAAGUCAAGGAUGCUGGCAUAAUGGUUAUAUGCCGC